GCCUUCGUGGCGUAGCUGGUUAUCGCGUGAGUCUCAUACAAACUAUGUAUGACCUAGCCAACAGGCCGGGCAAUCUCAAGGUCAUGAGUUCGAACCUCAUCGAGGGCA
rnacentral:tRNA from 1 species